UAAGGAAUAUUGGUCAAUGGACGCAAGUCUGAACCAGCCAUGCCGCGUGAAGGAUGAAGGUCCUCUGGAUUGUAAACUUCUUUUAUCUGGGACGAAAACGGGAUUUUUAUCUCAAUUGACGGUACCAGAGGAGUAAGCACCGGCUAACUCCGUGCCAGCAGCCGCGGUAAUACGGAGGGUGCGAGCGUUAUCCGGAUUUACUGGGUUUAAAGGGUGCGUAGGUGGGCUUAUAAGUCAGUGGUGAAAUCUCCGAGCUUAACUUGGAAACUGCCGUUGAUACUAUAGGUCUUGAAUUAUCUGGAGGUAAGCGGAAUAUGUCAUGUAGCGGUGAAAUGCUUAGAUAUGACAUAGAACACCAAUUGCGAAGGCAGCUUACUACAUAUAAAUUGACGCUGAGGCACGAAAGCGUGGGGAUCAAACA
rnacentral:rRNA from 1 species